rnacentral:sRNA from 2 species
UAUCUCUCCGUACGGGGAAGGAUGAGAAGCUUCGACUAAGGUUCGAUUCGAGCGCAGCGAGAAAGCGUUGCC